CCUACGGGAGGCAGCAGUGGGGAAUAUUGCACAAUGGGGGAAACCCUGAUGCAGCGACGCCGCGUGAGUGAAGAAGUAUCUCGGUACGUAAAGCUCUAUCAGCAGGGAAGAAAAUGACGGUACCUGACUAAGAAGCCCCGGCUAACUACGUGCCAGCAGCCGCGGUAAUACGUAGGGGGCAAGCGUUAACCGGAUUUACUGGGUGUAAAGGGAGCGUAGACGGGAGCACAAGUCUGGAGUGAAAUCCCGGGGCUUAACCCCGGAAGUGCUUUGGAAACUGUGCGGCUGGAGUGCAGGAGGGGUAAGCGGAAUGCGUAGUGUAGCGGUGAAAUGCGUAGAUAUUAGGAGGAACGCCGGUGGCGAAGGCGGCUUACUGGACUGUAACUGACGUUGAGGCUCGAAAGCGUGGGCAGCAAACAGGAUUAGAUACCCGGGUAGUC
rnacentral:rRNA from 1 species